rnacentral:rRNA from 1 species
AUUGAACGCUGGCGGCAGGCCUAACACAUGCAAGUCGAGCGGAGCGGCGGACGGGUGUGUAAUGCCUAGGAAUCUGCCUGGUCGCGGGGGAUAACGUCCGGAAACGGGCGCUAAUACCGCAUACUAUCAGAUUGGCCUAGGUCGGUUUAGCGAGUUGGUUGGGUAAAGGCCUACCAAGGCGACGAGCCGUAACUGGUCUGAGAGGAUGGUCAGUCAACCUGGAACUGGAACACGGUCCAGACUCCUACGGGAGGCAGCAGUGGGGAAUAUUGGACAAUGGGCGAAAGCCUGAUCCAGCCAUGCCGCGUGUGUGAAGAAGGUCUUCGGAUUGUAAAGCACUUUAAGUUGGGAGGCGUUACCAACAGAAUAAGCACCGGCUAACUUCGUGCCAGCAGCCGCAGUAAUUC